AUGUUUAAGUGGGUGACUCGGCGAGUCCAUAUUCUGGACUCGGUGAGUCCCUGCUGUCUGAUGAAACCCUAAAUUUCAAGGGUUUGCACCCUAUUUAAACCAAUCUUAUGCGCCCCAAGCUCGCCCCCUUCACCCUCAAAGCUCUCUACUUCGUCCAAGCCUUUUUACUUGUGAGAUUGAAGCAUUUUGGUGUGUUUUCUUGAAGAUUUUGAGAGGAAAGGAGAGUAGAUCAAGAAGAGAAGACGGAGGCCCGACAUCUUGGUGUUACUUCAGUGAUUUCCUUGAGGUAUAACUCAGUUUCCCUCUGUUUUCAUACUUAUAGUUCCUUAUAGCUCCAUGAAAGUCCUUCUAGAGCCUUUCCCCAAGCUUGAUUGUGUAUUCGGGUUUGUAAUAAGUUGUUUAGCCUCUAGAUCUAGGCAUGAUUGAGCUCCAGGAGCUUAGAUCUACUGCCUUUAUGGAGCCAUAUUGCAUGAAAGCCCUAGAUCUACUCUUUUAGUGCAUUUUGAGCCCUAAAACCUUCAUUGGUGUUUAUUUACACGUAAAGUUGGAAACUUUACAUUUUAAUCGAGCCCUAGAAACCCAGAUCUAUGAAUGGCAUGAGCUGGAUUCAAGCAAAAUCGAGUAUAUAGUAUUUUCAUGUGACAGACUCGGCGGGUCGUUCAUCGGACUCGGCGAGUCGAGUCGCGAGUCCCCGAGUUUUCCCCCUUUUCGUGUUUGCAGGGUAUAGUAGUGAGUCAUGGGGUGUGACUCUGUGAGUCGGAAGCCAGACUCACCCAUGAAGGAACUCGGCGAGUCAGUGCCCUGACUCGGCGAGUUCAAGGCAAUCUUCUUGCCUCAAGAACAGACCUGGCGAGUUGUUCAUACAACUCGGCGAGUCUCAGCGUAGCAUGUUCUUCGGAUGAUGAUGAACUCGACGAGUUGUUCAUACAACUCGGCGAGUAGGAUGAAGGACUAUUGGACCUUGGUUUAGAAGGAAAACUCGUCGAGUCAAUGCCUAACUCGACGAGUAGAGACGGGAUNNNNNNNNNNNNNGAGUUAGCAAGCCAACUCGGCGAGUCGGGUCAACUGGAAGUUGACUUUGACUUUGACUCUUGGUUUGGUUAAGGGUAAAUGGUCAUUUUACCCUGAGGUCGUUUAGCAGUAUUUGACUGAGUGUUUUGUGGGGAUUAUAGUCGGAGGAUUCCCGGGGCAGCAGCUGCCGGAGACAGUUAGUUCCCACACAGAACAAUAGCUACUUUGAGGUGAGUUACCUUCCAGUAGCGGUGGGUCUACGGCCACAAUUCCGGCCCACCAUUAGGAGUUGUAUGAUAGAUGAUUGUCUCUGUGAUAUUCAUCUAGGGUUGCUACUACCCGUGAUAUGUUAUUGUGCUAGUAUGAUAUGAUGUUAUGUCCCAGUGACAGUAGGGGGGGAGGUAGUCCCCCAGAUUACCGGUCGAUAGGGCCGAAGGGGUGGUCAUGCCCAGCCAUGCUAGAUAGAUUUCGUGAUAUAUAUGUUAUGUGGUCGUAGUAGGGGGUGAAAUAGUCCCCAGUAACCGGUCGAGAGGACCGAAGGGGAUACCAGCACCCAGAUAUGCUAGUCAAUAUCCGGUCGAGAGGACUGAAGGGGAGGCAAGCUCCCAGAUAUAUUGGUUAGUAUCCGGUCGAGAGGACCGAAGGGGAGGCGAGCUCCCACAUAUACUAGACAGUAUCCGGUCGAGAGGACCGAAGGGGUAGGUCGGGCACCCAGAUAUGUCUGACAAUAUAUGUAUGUUAUAUGAUUGAAUGGUAUGUGGUAUGUUGGGGGAACUCACUAAGCUUCAUGCUUACAGUUUUCAGUUUUAGUUUUAGGUACCUCUUCUUCGAAGGGGAAGGAGCUAGCGCGGUAGCAGCCCAUCACACACAUGCCUUGUAUUCCGCACUAUGAGAUCCUCCUGGGAAUUUGUACUCUGACAUUAUUAUGUUUUAUAAAAUGUUUUUCAAGACAUGCGAUAACUUUUAUGAAAUGAUAUGAUUGGUGAACGUUUUAUUUCUAAUGUUUGCUAAGUAUAUGUUUUAAAAAUGAAAUUUUUGACUCGUAUUUUUGGGACGUUACAAGUUGGUAUCAGAGCCCUGGUUUGAGGGAUUCGGACACACCUUCGGGGGUGUCUUAACUCAAAUCGAGGGAUUAAAAGAUUUUAAAGAAGAGAAAUAUUUCCUAAAAAUCUAAUUAAAGAGUUUUAAGAAGGAACGAAGUGUGUGAUGUGCGCGACCGACCGAGCUCAAAUAAGUAUUCCCCAAAGUACCCAUACCAGCUUAUGUUAUGUUUAUCAGUUUCAGUAGAACAGCAUGCUAGAAUAGGACUAAGGAUGUAGGAGUGAUGCCUUAUGUGCCUGCUUUAUGUGCUUCAGUGUAUGAAAAUUGCAUGCUAGAAUUGAGUAGACAGCAGUAGGAUAGUCUGUUAGGGUUAUGCCUGAUAGUAUGGGUUUAGCAAUGUAUGCUAGUUCAACUUUUCUCUAUGAGGACGGAUUUGCUUGAGAUUGUUCCCUUUUCUCCUAAUGUUGCUUGCUUUGUGCUUCGGGGGACUCUGAGCGAUGGAGUUAGAUAUUAGGUGAAUACGUCACGUCACAGGUGAUUAGGAUUGAAUAAUCUUAGAGUGUUGGAUCUGGCCCUAUUGCGCAGCUCUUGUCUGAGUCUAACCGUUGUAGGGACGAUUCUGUUACUCGAAGGAUUAUCUGAGCCUCACCACAUGUGAUGGUAUUCAGGUAAUGACUAAUUGACAUUACAAGGAGGCCUUCAGCAGCUAAGGACCGGGUAGGGUAGAGUUAGAGAUUUUCCUGGGGAAAGCCUAGGAUGAGUAUAGUAGUGAUCAGUGGUAGUGAAAGGGACCUGGUGGAGUCAAGGCAGUCCUUGGAGAAGGUACAGAUAGAUGUGGAAGGUAGUAUGGGCCCGUACUACUGAAAGCAGAGGAUUCGUACCCGAACCGAGGAAGGCCAAGAUAAGACCAGGAAACUUGUAGUAGUUGUGAUCCCUCCAGAGGUAUCGGUAUCGCUAACAAUUAUUAUUUAUGUAUUUCAGAAUGGUGGUACUACGCUCGAGGCCAGCUGUUGGCAGUACAGGAGAGGGAUCAGGUUCGGGAUCAGGUUCGGAGCCAGUAGAUGAGGGGCUACGCGAGUUCAUCACGUCAGAGAUCACUAGAGGCAUUCUUGAGUCGACUCCCAUUAUCUUCGGGUCGAUCAAGGAAGGGAUAUUGGAGUUGAUGGAGGAUCGCCUCAGGGCAUUCAGGAGCGACAUUGCAUCUGGCCAGUCGGGAUCUCGCACAUUGUCCUUCAAGGACUUCCGGGGCAGUGGUGCGCCGGAUUUUCACGGGGCGAAGGACCCCAUAGCUGCCAGGAGAUGGAUUGCAGACAUUGAGUCUACACAGUUCACUAGCUUCUGCCCUGAGGGGCCAAAGGUGAGAUAUGCAACAGGAUGUUUAAGAGAUCGAGCUAGGGAUUGGUGGGAGUCCGUUGGUGACUAGUUGGGAGCCUCGGCUGUCGAGGAUAUGACCUGGUCGGACUUCGUGACCAGGUUCAGGGCAGAGUUUGCGCCGGCUGUCGAGCUUCAGUAGCUGGCCAGGGAGUUCCUAGAUAUGAGACAUACAACGGAGGCUAUGGCGGAGAUCACCGCCAAGUUCCGGGAGAGGGCGUUGCUGGUGCCCCAGUACGCGGGUGAUGAGGAUAUGAGGAGGACCCGCUAUCAUGACAUGCUGCGAGCUGAUAUUUGGGAGCAUGUCAGUUUUUCAGCUUGCCCUACCCUGGACUCUAUGAUUGCCAGGGCAAGGGAGAUGGAGAUAGAUCUGGAGCACAUCCGGAAGAGGAAGGAGGAGGAUGGGCAUGUUAUGGGGGCUUCGGGGAAGAAGCCCAAGGGACCAGAUGCAGGGCCGAAAGGCCAACAGGGGCGGGGCCGCUGCAGAAAAUGCGGCAAGACGCACAAGGGAUCAUGCAAGUUAGGACCGUCAGGCUGCUACAAGUGUGGCAAGUUAGAGCACUUCAGCAAGGAUUGUACCGCCCCUGAACCUGUGAUUCAGACAUCCGAGUUGCUGUGUUUCCACUGCAACCCGAGGGGCCACAAGAAGGCCAAUUGCCCCCAGUUGACAGCAUCAGCGGCCGGUUAAGGCGCCAGCUCCAGCUACCCUGUGGAUUACAGAUGGUCGGCAGGGCAAGGCAGAGGCUCCCGGGGGGAGGAGUCGGGCGUUUCAGCUGACUACAGAGGAGGCUCACGCCGCACCCGAUAUGGUGACGGGUAUGAUUCUUUCCCUCUAUCUUAUUUUUUUAUGAUGUUAUGAUAUUGAUAUGUGCUCUAUGUAUAUGCGUUAGGAUCGUUCCAUGUGAACGGUAUUCCUGUUCAGGUGUUGUCUGACUCGGGUGCCACCUGAUCAUUUGUUUCCCUUGCGCUUAGCAAGAGGUUUACUGAGUCUUCGGACAUGUUGGAUUUCCCUUUAGAGGUAGAGAUUGCCGAUGAUCGAUCGGUGCGAGGGUCAGCAGUGUUCAGGGAUUGUGUCCUAAGGUUAUUUGCGGAGCGCUAUUUGGUGGAUUUGGUUCCCAUCCUUUUGCGGGGGAACAAGGUGAUUAUAGACAUGGAUUGGUUGAGCCCUAAUGGGGCAGUGAUAGGUUGUGCACAGUAGUUACUGUGGAUCAGGACCCCAAGUGGGGGACAGUUGGUUAUCCACGGCGAGAGGCCACAGCGUGGACCUACAGUAUGUUCAGCAGCAAGAGCUAGGCGCUACCUUCAGUAGGGUUGCGCAGGAUAUGUCGCGUAUGUUAUGGAUACUCGGGAGACGGGUAAGGCGACGGUGAGCGAGGUUCCAGUGGUGCGAGACUACACUGAUGUGUUCCCGGAGGAGCUUCCUGGAAUACCUCUGGAGUGUCAGGUAGAGUUCAGGAUCGACCUAGUUCCCGGUGCGGCUCCGAUAGCCAAGGCACCAUAUCGGUUGGCUCCUCCCGAGAUGCAUGAGUUGUCUACGCAGCUGCAGGAGCUGCUAGACACGGGAUUUAUUCUACCGAGCAGUUCACCCUAGGGAGCCCCGGUCAUGUUUGUGAAGAAGAAGAAGGAUGGGUCGCACCAGAUAUGUAUAGAUUACUGGGAGCUGAAUAAGGUGACGGUGAAGAACCGUUACCCACUCCCGAGGAUUGAUGACCUCUUUGAUCAGUUACAGGGAGCAUCUUGGUUCUCCAAGAUCGAUUUGCGUUCAGGUUAUCAUCAGAUGAGGUUCAGAGAGGAGGAUGUACAGAAGACCACAUUUCGGACGCGUUAUGACCAUUAUGAGUUCGUGGUGAUGUCGUUUGGGCUCACCAAUGCUCCUGUCGCGUUCAUGGAGCUCAUGAACCGCGUGUGUAGACCGAUGUUGGAUCGGUCUGUGAUAGGUUUCAUUGAUGACAUCUUGGUUUAUUCCAAGAUGCUGGAGGAGCACGAGGAGCAUCUGAGAGAGGUUUUGGAGACCUUGAGGAGAGAGAGCUUGUACGCCAAGUUCUCCAAAUGUGUGUUUUGGUUGUGCAAGGUGCAGUUUCGUGGGCACCUCAUCAACCAGAACAGGAUUUCAGUAGACCCGGCCAAGUUGGAGGCCGUGAUGAGGUAGGAGGUUCCGAAGUCUCCAUCCGAGAUUUGAAGUUUCCUAGGAUUAGCAGGCUACUAUCGGAGAUUCAUUCAGGAUUUCUCCAAGAUAGCCGUACCCCUGACACGGUUGACUAGGAAAGCCGUGGUCUUUCGAUGGGGGCCAGAGCAGCAGGCCGCGUUCGAGAUUCUGAGGUAGAGAUUGUGCGAGGCGCCAAUCUUAGCCCUGCCUGAGGGUGUAGAGGAUUUUGUGGUAUUCUGUGAUGCAUCUAUCUUGGGCUUAGGCGUAGUAUUGACUCAGAGGGGACAUGUCAUUGCUUAUGCCUCGAGGCAGCUGAAGCCUCACGAGGCGAACAACCCGACGCAUGAUUUAGAGUUGGGGGCGGUGGUCUUCUCCCUCAAGAUUUGGCGGCAUUACCUCUACGGGGUUCGAUGUACCAUUUACACGAACCACAAGAGUUUGAGGUACCUCAUGGAUCAGCCGAAUCUGAACAUGAGGCAGCGUCGGUGGUUGGACGUGGUGAAGGAUUAUGAUUGCGAGAUCCUCUAUCAUCCGGGGAAGGCCACCGUCGUGGCCGAUGCGCUUAGCCGUAAGGCGGCACCGAUCAGGGAUGUGUGUAUGAGGAUGACGGUGGUGACUCCACUGUUAGAGCAGAUUUGGGAAGCUCAACAGGAGGCUAUAAAGGAGGGAAUAGUGGGUCAAGUCACCUCCUUCGAUUAUGAUAGCCGAGGGUUAUUGACAUUACACUGUAGGGUGUGGGUUCCGUAUCACGGAGGCGUGCGCCAAAUCUUGAUGGAGGAGGCACACAAGUCCUGAUUCUCUAUUCAUCCAGGGGCGACGAAGAUGUAUCGGGAUCUUCGUCUAGACUAUUGGUGGCCCUGCAUGAAGCGGGAUGUGGCGUGGUACGUCGAGCGGUGUUUGACCUGCAGGAAGGUCAAGGUCGAGCAUAAGAGACCGCACAACAAGAUGCAGCCGUUGGAUAUCCCGUUGUGGAAAUGGGAUGAUAUUACGAUGGAUUUUAUCACAAAGCUUCCCCGGACGGCACGAGGAGUAGAUUCGAUUUGGGUCAUCGUGGAUCGGUUGACCAAGAACACCCAUUUUAUUCCGAUUCAAGUGAGUAUCUCGGCCGAAAAGUUGGCCGAUAUCUAUAUCAGGGAGAUAGUGGCGCGGCACGGGGUGCCAGUGUCAGUGAUAUCAGAUCGAGAUGUGCGGUUCACUUCCAAGUUUUGGAAGAAGUUUCAUGAUGAGUUGGGCACUCGUCUACAUUUUAGCACCGCCUUUCAGCCGCAGACGGAUGUUUAGAGCGAGCGGACCAUCCAGACGUUGGAGGAUAUGUUGCGGGCUUGCGUGCAAGACUUCGGUGGUAGUUGGGAUACCUAUCUUCCCUUGGCUGAGUUCUCGUACAACAACAGCUAACACGCGAGUAUUGACCGUCCCCCAUUCGAGAUGUUGUAUGGAAGGAGGUGCAUGACCCCGAUAUGUUGGGGUGAAGUUGGCCAGAGGGUCAUGGGGAGCACCGAGGUGGUGCUCAAGACGACCGAGAGAAUCCAGCACGUUUGAAGCAGGCUUCAGACUGCGCAGAGUCGAAAGAAAAGUUACGCCGACAAGCGUCGAUCAGACCUGGAGUUCCAGGUCGGGGAUAUGGUUCUCCUAAAAGUGUCACCUUGGAAAGCCGUCAUUCGUUCAGGAAGCGGGGCAAGUUGGGCCAGAGAUUCAUUGGUCCGUUCAGGGUUGCAUCUCGGGUGGGCAAGGUGGCAUAUAGGCUAGAUCUGCCAGCCGAACUUAGUCAGAUCCACAGCACCUUCCAUGUCUCCCAGCUGCGGGAGUGCCAAGUGGAUGAUUCAGCGGUGGUGCCGCUAGAGGAUAUACAGGUUGAUGACAGGCUGAAUUACAUUGAGCGCCCAGUCGCAAUCCUCGACCGGAAGUCGAAGGAUCUGAGGAACAAGAGGGUGGAAUUAGUAAAGGUGCAAUGGCAGCACCGAAAGGGUUCGGAAUGGACUUGGGAGCCGGUGGAAGAAAUGAUGGAGCAUUACCCCGAGCUGUUUCAGGAUCGAGCAGCAGACUUUGAGGACGAAGUCUAAAAUAAGUGGGGGAGAUUUGUAGCACCUGGUUCCUGGUACGUAAAAUUUAUCUAAGUGUUUUGCAUUUUCAACCUUGGACUCGGCGAGUUGUAGGCCCGACUCACCGAGUAGAGACAGGAUUUCGAACACGUUUAAGUUGGCGACUCGGCGAGUCCAUAUUUUGGACUCGGCAAGUCCCCUCUGUCUAAUGAAACCCUAAAUUUCAAGGGUUUGCACCCUAUUUAAACCAACCUUAUGCGCCCCAAGCUCGCCCCCUUCACCCUCAAAGCUCUCUACUUCGUCCAAGCCUUGUUCCUUGUGAGAUUGAAGCAUUUUGGUGUGUUUUCUUGAAGAUUUUGAGAGGAAAGGAGAGUAGAUCAAGAAGAGAAGACGGAGGCCAGGCAUCUUGGUGUUACUUCAAUGAUUUCCUUGAGGUAUAACUCCGUUUCCCUCUGUUUUCAUGCUUAUAGUUGCUUAUAGCUCCAUGAAAGUCCUUCUUGAGCCUUUCCCCAAGCUUGAUUGUGUAUUAGGGUUUGUAAUAAGUUGUUUAGCCUCUAGAUCUAGGCAUGAUUGAGCUCCAGGAGUUUGGAUCUACUGCCUUUAAGGAGCCAUAUUGCAUGAAAGCCCUAGACCUACUCUUUUAGUGCAUUUUGAGCC
rnacentral:lncRNA from 1 species